CGGGGAGGGGAGAACUAGGAAGAGAAGACAGGGUGCUUUGGGCGUGCGAGGCGCUGGAAGGGUGUGAGGGAUGGUGCUCAUUAAAGAGUUUCGGGUGGUACUACCUUGCUCUGUAGAAGAGUAUCAAGUGGGACAAUUAUUUUCUGUGGCUGAGGCUAGUAAGAACAACACCGGUGGUGGUGAAGGAAUUGAGGUGUUGAAAAAUGAACCCUACCAACACGAGGGAGAGCAGGGGCAGUACACCCAUAAGAUCUACCAUCUUCAGAGCAAAGUUCCAGGAUUCAUCAAGAUGUUUGCCCCAGAAGGGUCCCUUGUUGUCCACGAAAGAGCCUGGAAUGCCUAUCCUUAUUGUCGGACAGUUAUUACGAACGAAUACAUGAAGGACGAUUUCUUUGUCAAAAUUGAAACAUGGCAUAAACCGGAUUUAGGGGAACAAGAAAAUGUCCAUGGCCUGGAUGCAGAUACUUGGAAAGAUGUGGAAGUUGUUCACAUAGACAUUGGCGAUCGGACACAAGUAUCAGAUGACGAUUACAAACCAGAUGAAGAUCCAGCUCUUUUCAAAUCUCUGAAGACGGCCAGAGGCCCACUUGGUCCUGAUUGGAAGCUGGAACUAGCCAAUAAUGAAGAUUGUCCCCACAUGUGUGCCUACAAACUUGUGACUGUGAAGUUCCGCUGGUGGGGCCUUCAGGGAAGGGUGGAAAAGUUUAUCCAAAAGCAAGAAAGACGCCUCUUUACCAACUUCCAUAGGCAGCUGUUUUGCUGGUUGGAUAAGUGGGUGGAUUUAAGCAUGGCUGACAUCCGACGGAUGGAGGACGAGACGCAGAAAGAGCUUGAUGAGAUCCGCCAGAAGGGAACAGUGAGAGGCAUGACUGUCGGGGAUGAAUGAGUGCCCCCUACUGCCUAGGGGAAGAAAUGACAAGGUUGGAAAAAGCAGGAGUGGAAUAAAUAGCAUGCUGGAAAAAAUAUGCAGUGCCGGUUCUGACCUGAGAUUGGACCUCUCCUUGUGGGACUUUGCCUUCUCCUUCUUCCUCCCUUUCGUCAACUAGGAAGAAGGAGAUGAGUUCUUUCUUUCAUUCCAUCUACUUGGUCUUAAGAUAUUCCAAGCUGUCCCUGAUUUUACCAACCUGGGAACCCCCAUGAAACUGCUGCAUAUUACUUAACUGAUCAUGGAUUAAUAGGUGUCCUUACCGCAUGAAUGGGAUAUCGAAGGGACCAAGGACCUUUCAGGGGCUGGGGGCAUCUCCUUUUUUCACACUGCAGAGUCAGCAAUGCAUGAAUAUUAAUAACAUUAAUCUGAAUAUUCUUUAGAAUCAUACUUCAGCGGGUGGGUGGGGAAUUUAUAGGAAGUGGGAAAACAAAACAAAAAAGGUUUGAAUUGGGAGGAGGGCAAUUUAAAGUUAGGAAUAUAGUUAGUUUCUUUUUCACAGUGGAGAGUUUCUAAGCCGCCCAUGAAAAC